GUGAAAUCAAUAUCUCAUUGGGUCGGAGUACUAUCAUCCUCCCAUGUUAUCAACCGUAUUAAUUCAAAUACCAUGUAUAUUUUCCAUCAGGUCAUUCUAUUUUAUAGAAUUUAAAACCAAGUAGGCUUUCUUUUUUUUAUAAAACAUUAGCGUGCACAAGCAUCACAUGAUAACUAUGACAUCCCAACUAUGUUGGCACCCCAUAAUCAUCACCUAUCAUUUGCAGCACCCUAAAAAAUUUAUUAAAAAGAAAGAAAAAAGAAACAAACUUGGGGGGACUAGACCAAAACCCAAGGAAACAAAAAUACAAGGAACCUGCUACUGCCUCAUUAAAAACCUUUCCUGGAAAACCCCAAGGGAUAAAACCAAGGAUAAGGGAACCAAGUAGGCUUUCUAUUUUCAUUCGAUUAAGGGUCUUCAUAACAUACAUUUUAAGUUAUCAAGCCACAACACCAACAAUUUCAACUUUAUAUUCAAAGAUAAAAUUUUCAAUUCUCA
rnacentral:lncRNA from 1 species